AUGAAUAUAAGAAAAAAUGUAACUUCUAUAGUAAAUAAAAUGAAGAAUGAUAAUUCAGGAGUUAAGGAGAAAAAAUAUACUAGCAAUUAUAGUAGUAAUUUGUUACUAGAUAUUAAAAAAACAAAAAAUAGAUCCAUUGAUGAAGAAAAAAAUAAAAUUCCAAAUCAAUGUAGUAAUAUUAACAUUGUUAAAAGUAAAUCGAAUUCGUAUGACUCAAUAAAUGUGAGUUGGAACAAAGGGAGUAAUACAGAGAAUAAAAAAGAACAAACUGAUAGAAGUUUACAGGUAGAGCUAAAAAAUGAAUAUAACAAACUACAAGAGCAUAAUGAAUUAAAACGCGAAGAUAAAAAUGUAACAGAUAAUAAGAGGGAUGAAAAAAACAUAAUUUUUUACAACGAAAGUAGUGAUAAAUAUUUAAAUAAAAAUGAGGAAGAAGAAAAUGCAAAAAAAGAGAAUAAGCACCAUGAUUUUUCAAAUAUAGAAAAAAGUUCUUGUUCCCAAAAAAGCUUUUCUAACUCUUCUAAUAUAGUAAAUAAUGUAAAUGAGUAUAACCACAAUAUUAUAUAUCACGAAUUAUACAUUGAGUUAUUACAUGUAAAUAAAAUGUUACAAGAUGAAAUUAAUGCUUUAAAAAAAACGAUUGAAAUACAAAAGACGAUAAUUAAAAGUAAAGAUAAUUUUUUGUUAAGUGAUAUGAAUAGAAAUAAAAAAUUAAAUAAUGUAAAAUCUGUGAAUAAUAAUUAUUUUACAAAUUUUUUUAAUAAAAAAAAAAAAAAAAGUAAAGAUAACUUUUUUUCUAUAUCUUCUAAAACUGGAAAUACAUUAAAAACUAAUUUUUUUAGUAGUUAUAAAGGAUCAGAAAAAAAAAAAAAAAGAGAAAAAAAAGAUAACACCAUAAAAAAUUGUGGUAAUAAUGAUAAUACAGGUAUAUUUUUAGAAUGUGAAAAAGUAUAUAAUAAUGAAAUAGAGAUUUCAGAAAUGAAAUUAAAUGAAGAAAAAGAGAAAAAAAAAAAAUAUAAAAAUAAAAGCAGCUAUGAAAUAAAUGAAUAUAAACAUUUACCACUGAGUGAUGGUGAUGAAUACAUAAAAUAUAUGUCUAAUGAAGAAAAUGAAACAACAGAUCCUGUUGAUAAGGAAAAGCAUGAAAUUGAUAGUAGCUUACAUAAUAAUGAUGUAUAUAAGAUUAAUUAUAAAAUAGAAAAAGAUUGUUUAGGUAAUACAGAAAAAAGAAACUUCGGCUAUUCCAAUGAAAAAAUUGAAAGUAGUACAUAUGGAAAAGAUAAAAAAGUUAAAGAAGAUAAUGGUAAAGAUGAAAUAUUAAGCAUACAAGAAGUAACUUCUUUAACAUUUUGGUAUGAAGAAAUAUUACCAUUAAUUAAUAAUGAAAAAAAAAAAAAAAAUUUAAUAGACUUAGUUAAAAUAAAUCCAAUGCCAAGAAUAAUAAAAACAUAUUUUUGGGAAAUGAAUAUAAUUAAUAAAUUAAAUUUAACUGAUCAAUUUGUUCAAACUUUAGUAAAAAAUACAAAUUUUAUACAGUCAUAUAUAUAUACAUAUAAUACACAGUAUAAAAAUCAUAUAAAUAAAUAUUUUAAAUCAUUGGAUGAAUUAUUUAUUAACGAUUCUAAUGAAUAUACAUUAAAAACUGACUAUGUUAAUAGAAAUAAUGAUAAUGUUACGAAUAUAUUAAAAACAGAUAAUGUAGUAGAUGGAUUUGAAAAUUUGAAGCACACGUCUAGUAAGGGUGAAGAAAACAAAAUUAAAUCUAUUUUGAAUUUAAAAAACAAAGGUGAUAUAGGAGAAUAUAUAAAAGAUGAAGGAGAGAGUGUGAAUAAUAAUUUAGGAGAUAUAGGAAGUAACAGGAAGGAGAGCCAUAAUAGUUACAAAAGUGACAACGACAACAACCAUGACGCCAGCAACAACAGUGAUGACGAUAAAACCGAUAAUAACAAUAAUAAUAUUAAUAAAAAAAAUAAAAAUUUUAAUAAAGAUAUAACUACUUAUAACAUCGAUGUAUUACAAAACUUUUCAAUUCAGAAGUUUUUUUAUCAAAUAUUAAUAGAUUUGGACAGAACAAUGUAUAUAAUAAAAAAAAACCAAGAGUAUUAUAAAAAAUAUAACACAAAUUCUGAUCAUUUUUUACUUUCCAUUAAUUUGUGCGAAACUAAAGCAAAAUUAAAUUUGUUAUUACAAAUGUAUGUUCUUUUUAAGCCUGAAUUAGGGUAUGUCCAGGGAAUGUCCUACAUCGCCUUGGUAUUUCUGUUGUAUUGUAAAUUAGAGAAAGCCUUUGUUUAUUUCGCAAAUUUCAUGGAUCGAAAAAAUAUAUUCAAUAUGUACAGCUUUAACAAAGAAGAAAUAAAGAUUUACAUAUAUACUAUUAAGGAAAUACUAGCUAAACAAAAUAUAGAAACAUAUAAAGAAAUUGUCAAACAUUAUAACAUAGAUAAUAUUUUUAUUCAAUGGAUGUACACAAUUUUUUUAACAUGUUUACCUUUUCAAAUUUUUAUCCGCAUAUUUGACAUUUACACCUUUUACGAAAAUAUAAUAUAUGAGACCAUAUUAUGUAUUUUUACAUAUAUUAAUAAGCUCCACUCAAUGGAUAACGUUGACAAUUUAAUCAAAAAUUUACCAUCCUUCUCCUUUAACACACAUAUACAAGAAGACAAAUUUUGGAGGAUGUUAAAAAAGUCGAAAAUAAAAAAAGGAAAAAUACUUUAUUAUAGGGAAAAGUAUUUUAACAAAGUUUAUAGUAAGGACAAAACCAUUGAUUUAUUUCUUGUCCAUUUUUUUAUUUACACUUAUGUUAGUUUUGCUUGUUCGUGCUUUGCUUGCUCGUUUUU
ensembl:lncRNA